UCUCCGUAGGUGAACCUGCGGAGGGAUCAUUACAGAGUUCUCGCCCUCACGGGUAGAUCUCCCACCCACUGUCAUCGUUACUGUCGUUGCUUUGGCGGGCCGCCGGGUCCCCGGCCGCCGGCGCCUAGCUGCCGGCGCGCGCCCGCCAGAGGCCUUCAAACUCUGAAUGUUAGUGUCGUCUGAGUACUAUAUAAUAGUUAAAACUUUCAACAACGGAUCUCUUGGUUCUG
rnacentral:misc_RNA from 1 species